CCUACGGGAGGCAGCAGUAGGGAAUCUUCCACAAUGGGCGAAAGCCUGAUGGAGCAACGCCGCGUGGGUGAAGACGGUCCUCGGAUCGUAAAACUCUGUUGUUAGAGAAGAAAGCGCGUGAGAGUAACUGUUCACGUUUCGACGGUAUCUAACCAGAAAGCCACGGCUAACUAGGUGCCAGCAGCCGCGGUAAUACGUAGGUGGCAAGCGUUAUCCGGAUUUAUUGGGCGUAAAGGGAACGCAGGCGGUCUUUUAAGUCUGAUGUGAAAGCCUUCGGCUUAACCGGAGUAGUGCAUUGGAAACUGGGAGACUUGAGUGCAGAAGAGGAGAGUGGAACUCAAGGUGUAGCGGUGAAAUGCGUAGAGAUAUGGAAGAACACCAGUGGCGAAGGCAGCUCUCUGGUCUGUAACUGACGCUGAGGUUCGAAAGCGUGGGUAGCAAACAGGAUUAGAUACCCGGGUAGUC
rnacentral:rRNA from 1 species